AGAGAGACCAAACUAUGACAUUAUUACAUAUAAUAAAGUAGUUGCACCAGCAAUGUUUAGACUCUCUCUUCUUCCUGGAUCUUUGGGAGCAAUUAAGCCCAUAAGAAAUCAGACACUCACCCCAAUUCUGAUGUAACAGCCUUGGGAGAGGUUGCAGUGAAAAGCUGGUCCUGCUGUGGUGGAGAGAAUGGAGAAAACAUAAUAAAAGGCUAAACCUUUGCUCAAACUUUCUCCUCAGCUUCUCUUUGGAUCUGGAAAGCUGGGGACCCACAGGGCAGAGCCAUGGUACUGGAGGAGCCAUUAACAACUUGCUCACUGUUGGAUUCUGCUGAGAGUGAUGUUGGAGAGAGACUGGAAGGCAAGAGAAGGAAGAACUGCCCUUCCUAUCAGCUGGCUACUCCUGGCAAUAGACCCAAGAAUGGCCCUUCAUCCCAGCAGCAGGUUGUCCCAGUCACCAGCUUCUUUUAGUGCCCUCAGAACAAGCCUCAUGACACCACAUCAGAAGGACCGUGCAAGCCAGGCAGCACCCACUCUACAGAGAUCUGAGCUCUGUAGGGCCCCUCUGUGAUGAACAGAAUCAGUCAGAGGGGGACUUAACUCAGUGGCUAAGGACUUUUCUCCAAGUUUGGAGGUCCUGAUAACCCUGACUCAUUAACCCUUUAUUGCCCUAACCAGUGGAGUGGGAGGGAGAGAUUGUUUCCUGCCCUUUUUCCUUUGUUAUAUCACUAUUGUCUUGUUUUGCUUUUUUUGUCCACCAAUAACUAUUUAAUUUCCUAUAUUAAACAUUUCCUGUUAAAAUA